GCCAGAACAGUGUAGUGGUUUGAGCACUGGACUUGGACUCUGGAGAUCAGGAUUCGAUUCCCUGCUUGGCC